UACGAAGGGGGCUAGCGUUGCUCGGAAUCACUGGGCGUAAAGCGCACGUAGGCGGAUUGCUAAGUCAGGGGUGAAAUCCUGGAGCUCAACUCCAGAACUGCCUUUGAUACUGAAGAUCUUGAGUUCGGGAGAGGUGAGUGGAACUGCGAGUGUAGAGGUGAAAUUCGUAGAUAUUCGCAAGAACACCAGUGGCGAAGGCAGCCCCCUGGGCCAACACUGACGCUCAGGCACGAAAGCGUGGGGAGCAAACAGG
rnacentral:rRNA from 1 species